rnacentral:rRNA from 1 species
UAUGUAGGUCCCGAGCGUUGUCCGGAUUUAUUGGGCGUAAAGCGAGCGCAGGUGGUUUAUUAAGUCUGGUGUAAAAGGCAGUGGCUCAACCAUUGUAUGCAUUGGAAACUGGUAGACUUGAGUGCGGGAGAGGAGAGUGGAAUUCCAUGUGUAGCGGUGAAAUGCGUAGAUAUAUGGAGGAACACCGGUGGCGAAAGCGGCUCUCUGGCCUGUAACUGACACUGAGGCUCGAAAGCGUGGGGAGCAAACAGG